UACGGAGGGUGCGAGCGUUGUCCGGAAUCACUGGGCGUAAAGCGCGCGUAGGCGGUCUGUCGCGUCGGCGGUGAAAGCCCUCGGCUCACCUGGGGGAGGUCCGCCGAAACGGACAGACUGGAGGGCGGUAGGGGCUGGCGGAACGCCCGGAGUAGCGGUGAAAUGCGUUGAGAUCGGGCAGAACACCAGUGGCGAAGGCGGCCGGCUGGGCCGACCCUGACGCUGAGGCGCGAAAGCCAGGGGAGCGAACGGA
rnacentral:rRNA from 1 species